rnacentral:rRNA from 1 species
UAGGGAAUUUUCGUCAAUGGGCGCAAGCCUGAACGAGCGAUGCCGCGUGAAGUGAAGAAGGCCUUCGGGUCGUAAAGCUCUGUUGCGGGGGAAAAAAGGCAGCAUCAGGAAAUGGGUGCUGACUGAUGGUGCCCCGCCAGAAAGUCACGGCUAACUACGUGCC